CAAAUCAUACUAUAUACAAAAACUAUUAAUAUUCUUUCAAUAAAUACUAAUUUUGGGUGGUUUUCAUAUUUAUUACCUAUAAAAGACAUUAUAGGGCCGGAAUGGAAGAUAAGCAAGCAAGGAAAAAGUCCAUGCUAAACAUUAGUUGUGUGGGUGCCUAAUAAAUAAAGCAAGUUUAGGUUUUCUAAAGGUGUUGGUUGCCAAGUCACAAGCUGAAGGGUUGCAAACGCAUAUGCGGGACAUGUUGGAGGUGUUACUGAGUUGAUUGAAGGAGAAAUGGUGAAGGAGAGAGAGUAGAUCUGGAAGAUGAAACCUGAGGUUGCGAGUGGUGGAAGAAAGCAAUCAGAUCUGUAUCAAAUGAUUCAAAUCCAAACGCAAUUUCAUGAAAUCGAAGUGUGAUUUGAGCUAGGGUUAGAGAGAAAGGUGAAUCAGAUCUGGAAAUUCAGAAAAGAAAGGUGAAUACCUCGAGGAUUUCGGGAUUUUGGGGGUCAGAGGCUAGGGCUUCAUCAAGAGCAGCUAUUGUUCUCUUUGUUGAUCAAAAAGGAGAAAAGAGAUGACAUGCACUUAAUUUGGGAGUAUACGUGUUUUUGGAUGUCAUGAAGAAAGUAGUAAAAUUGUAUUUGAUAAAAUACUAAAUUAAUUAAGUUAAUAAUUAUAACAAAAUAUUCCAGCCACAUUUGUAACAAAACUGUAACACAAUUAGGAUUAUUUUUGUUUUUGUUACUAUUGUGUCACACUUUUGUUUAUAAAACUUGGGGGAUUUUCUUUUAAAA